GAAAUGCGAUAAGUAGUGUGAAUUGCAGAAUUCAGUGAAUCAUCGAAUCUUUGAACGCACAUUGCGCCCCUUGGUAUUCCAUGGGACAUGCCUGUUCGAGCGUCAUUUGUACCCUCAAGCUCUGCUUGGUGUUGGGUGUUUGUCCCGUCUCCGCGCGUCGACUCGCCCCAAAGUGAUUGGCAGCCGGCGUACUGGUCCCGGAGCGCAGCACAUGUCGCGCAAACGAGUGCCUUGGUACGGCGGCGUCCAUAAGCCCCUCUCUCACGCUCUUGACCUCGGAUCAGGUAGGGAUACCCGCUGAACUUAAGC
rnacentral:misc_RNA from 1 species